CUCUUCGCACACGCUGGGGAGCGCGGUGGGAGGAGGCAGCUCGGGGUGAGGCGGACGGCGGAGCAUGCCCCGCUACCGGUCUCGUUGCUGCGCGGCUGACGGCGCGCAAACGCGGGGCUCAGCGUAGCCUCCACCCCUCGCUCCCCCUCCCCCCCCCCAGGCCCCAAGACCCGCAGAGCCGCCACCGGACGGAAAGUUCCGCGGGUGGCUGACGGUGCGGUCCCCGGCCGGAGCGGCACUCCGCGACCGGCACCUCCCCAUCGCCAGCUCCGCGCGAGCGGCGUGGCUCCGAGGCCGCCAAAGUUGCGGCGGAGCCACGGGGCCGCCGUUGCUGCUGGCCAUCAAGUGGCUCGUUAAGGAAAUGCAGUUCCAUCUGGGCCUUUGUGGACUAGGGGCACAACGCGGCGCCUGACUGGCAGGAGGGGAAAGCGGAGACUCUUCAGGUUUCCGAAGAGGUCCGAACGGACAGCAUUAGGAAAUUUUGAAGAGUCUUACACUUUUAAUCCUCCAGUCAUUGAUUGCGCUGUGAGGACAUUGAGGUGAGGUGGUGGGAGUGAAAAGCAACUGCUUUCCUUGCCCUUUACAACCUAGUUAAGAAUUUGACUGACAGAAUGUUGGCACCAGCUGUGGAAGAGCUGAUCAGCCUCAACUCCAAAGUCUAUUUUCUUCUAUGAACAACCACUAAGAAACCUGGAGGAUACUAGCCUGGCAAAGGGAGAAAAGGGAGAAAGGGAGAAAGAGAAGAAGAAAAAAAGUAAGGUGCUGAGAGUGGAUUAUCAAGAGAAGAUGUUCCUGUAUCAGAGAGACAGGCAAGAUAUGAUAUCGUAAAAAAAAAAAAAAAAUAGAUUGAAUCUCUGAAAACGUGCUAACAUCACCUCAAAAUAAACUAUUAGCUCACAUUAUCACAGUACUUGACAGUUUGAAAAAUCACUAAAAAUGUUUCUUUUAAGAGCUACUUGCAUAGAGACAGUCUGAUGGAGGAGCCAGAUUUCUCUCAGUGGCGGUGUUAGUCUUGGAUCACCAA